AUGAACGCUGGCGGCGUGCCUAAUACAUGCAAGUCGAGCGAACAGAUGAGGAGCUUGCUCCUCUGACGUUAGCGGCGGACGGGUGAGUAACACGUGGAUAACCUACCUAUAAGACUGGGAUAACUUCGGGAAACCGGAGCUAAUACCGGAUAAUAUAUUGAACCGCAUGGUUCAAUAGUGAAAGACGGUUUUGCUGUCACUUAUAGAUGGAUCCGCGCCGCAUUAGCUAGUUGGUAAGGUAACGGCUUACCAAGGCAACGAUGCGUAGCCGACCUGAGAGGGUGAUCGGCCACACUGGAACUGAGACACGGUCCAGACUCCUACGGGAGGCAGCAGUAGGGAAUCUUCCGCAAUGGGCGAAAGCCUGACGGAGCAACGCCGCGUGAGUGAUGAAGGUCUUCGGAUCGUAAAACUCUGUUAUUAGGGAAGAACAAAUGUGUAAGUAACUAUGCACGUCUUGACGGUACCUAAUCAGAAAGCCAGGGCUAACUACGUG
rnacentral:rRNA from 1 species